AGAGUUUGAUCAUGGCUCAGAAUCAACGCUGGCGGCGUGCCUAACACAUGCAAGUCGCACGAGAAAGGGUAGCAAUACCUGAGUAAAGUGGCGCACGGGUGAGUAACACGUGAAUCAUCUACCUUCGAGUGGGGAAUAACUGGGAGAAAUCCUGGCUAAUACCGCAUAAUAUCUACGGAUCAAAGCAGCAAUGCGCUUGAAGAGGAGUUCGCGGCAGAUUAGUUAGGUGGCGGGGUAAUGGCCCACCAAGACGAUGAUCUGUAUCCGGCCUGAGAGGGCGCACGGACACACUGGAACUGAAACACGGUCCAGACUCCCACGGGAGGCAGCAGUGGGGAAUUUUGCGCAAUGGGGGAAACCCUGACGCAGCAACGCCGCGUGGAGGAUGAAAUCCCUUGGGAUGUAAACUCCUUUCGAUAGGGAAGAUAAUGACGGUACCUAUAGAAGAAGCCCCGGCUAACUUCGUGCCAGCAGCCGCGGUAAUACGAGGGGGGCAAGCGUUGUUCGGAAUUAUUGGGCGUAAAGGGUGCGUAGGCGGUUUGACAAGUCAUCUGUGAAAUCUAUGGGCUCAACCCAUAGUCUGCAGGUGAAACUGUCGGGCUUGAGUAUGGGAGAGGUGAGUGGAAUUUCCGGUGUAGCGGUGAAAUGCGUAGAUAUCGGAAGGAACACCUGUGGCGAAAGCGGCUCACUGGACCAUAACUGACGCUGAUGCACGAAAGCUAGGGGAGCAAACAGGAUUAGAUACCCUGGUAGUCCUAGCCCUAAACGAUGAUUGCUUGAUGU
rnacentral:rRNA from 1 species